rnacentral:rRNA from 1 species
UCUAUAUACCACCCUGAACACACCCGAUCUUGUCUGAUCUCAGAAGCUAAGCAGGGUUGAGCAUGGUUAGUACUUGGAUGGGAGGCUAAUCUCCAUUUUCUAAGAGCACUGUGUGGGAA